CCUACGGGGUGCAGCAGUCGAGAAUCAUUCACAAUGGGGGAAACCCUGAUGGUGCGACGCCGCGUGGGGGAAUGAAGGUCUUCGGAUUGUAAACCCCUGUCAUGUGGGAGCAAAUUAAAAAGAUAGUACCCCAAGAGGAAGAGACGGCUAACUCUGUGCCAGCAGCCGCGGUAAUACAGAGGUCUCAAGCGUUGUUCGGAAUCACUGGGCGUAAAGCGUGCGUAGGCUGUUUCGUAAGUCGUGUGUGAAAGGCGCGGGCUCAACCCGCGGACGGCACAUGAUACUGCGAGACUAGAGUAAUGGAGGGGGAACCGGAAUGCUCGGUGUAGCAGUGAAAUGCGUAGAUAUCGAGAGGAACACUCGUGGCGAAGGCGGGUUCCUGGACAUUAACUGACGCUGAGGCACGAAGGCCAGGGGAGCGAAAGGGAUUAGAUACCCUUGUAGUC
rnacentral:rRNA from 1 species